UUUCCGUAGGUGAACCUGCGGAAGGAUCAUUAAAAAAUAUCACGUUAUUGUGAUUUAAUAUCAUCCUACCUUUGUGAAUUUGCUUUGUUUGAAAAUUAUGUUGUCUAUCCCGAUGGUUUUGGAAAAGUUGAAAAACUUUUUCGAAUCCUAGGACUAGGCUUUCAUAGACCUUUUUUAAAUUAACUUUUGUAUUCAUUUGUCUAAAUUUAUUUUAAUAAUUUAAAAACAACUUUUGACAAUGGAUCCUUGGUCUCGCAACGAUGAAGAACGCAGCAAAAUGCGAUAAGUAAUGUGAAUUGCAGAAUACGUGAAUCAUCAAAUCUUCGAACGCGUAUUGCACUUUUCUAGUUUACUAGAAAAGUAUGUCUGUUUGAGUAUCAGUAAAAUAUUCUCAUAAAAAACAUUGUUUUUUAUGGUUAUGAGUGUUCUACAACGAUAAACAAGUUGUUUCACUUUAAAUUGAUUUUUAAAAGCCAAUUUGGUUUUAUCUAAUAAAUUGGAUAAAAUUUUCCCGUAAAAGGAAUAAACUUUUCAGUUUUAAAGGUAAAACUUUAGUUGAGCCUAAUAAAAGGAAAUUUAACAAAAUAACUUGAUCUCAAAUCAGAUAAGAGUACCCGCUGACUUAAGCAUAUCAAUAAGCGGAGGAAAAGAAACUAACAAGGAUUCCCUUAGUAACGGCGAGUGAAGCGGAAGAGCUCAAAUUUGAAUCUUCAAGGUUCUACCUUGACGAAUUGUAGUUUAUAGAAGUGUUUCUGUUAGUGAGUGCAAAAGUUCCUUGGAAUAGGACAUCAUAGAGGGUGAGAAUCCCGUAUUUGGUCAUUCCUCUAGCGUUGUGAUACACUUUCAACGAGUCGGAUUGUUUGGGAAUGCAGUCAAAAUGGUGGUAAUUUCAUCUAAAGCUAAAUAUUGGCGAGAGACCGAUAGCGAACAGUACCGUGAGGGAAAGAUGAAAAGAACUUUGAAAAGAGAGUUAACUGUACGUGAAAUUGUCAAAAGGGAAGCGUUUGACACCAGUGUUGUUUUUCCGAAAAUCAAUUACGAAUGUUUUGUUUUUAAGAAGUUAUGACUUCAUCGGCUUGCUUCUUUCUUUAUGAAACUUUCUUAAUGCACUUUCGGUUAACAAGUCAACAUCAAUUUCUUUUGUUGUAAAGGUAUGAGGAAGGUGGCUUUCUUUCGGAGAAAGUGUUUAUAGCCUUGUGCCUCUGCAAUCGGAGAGAUUGAGGUCUGCAGCGUAGAUCCUUCGGGUUAGAUACAUUUGUGCUAAUUAUAGCUUUUCAUAGACAACUUGUUGACUAUGUUAUCUUGUAGCUUACUCGCUUAUGCUAUUU
rnacentral:misc_RNA from 1 species